rnacentral:rRNA from 1 species
CACGUAGGAGGCAAACGUUAUCCGGAUUUACUGGGCGUAAAGCGCGUGUAGGUGGUUCUGUAAGUAGGGCGUGAAAGCUCCCGGCUCAACUGGGAGAGGCCGUUCUAUACUGCAGAGCUAGAGGAUGGUAGAGGGAGGUGGAAUUCCAGGUGUAGCGGUGGAAUGCGCAGAUAUCUGGAGGAACACCAGUGGCGAAGGCGGCUUCCUGGUCUGUAACUGACACUGAGGCGCGAAAGCGUGGGGAGCAAACAGGAUUAGAUACCCCGUA